rnacentral:rRNA from 1 species
GAGCGCUGUUAUUGUAGGCUGAAUACUAGCCGCCGACCGAUAGCGAACCAGUACCGUGAGGGAAAGGUGAAAAGAACCCCGCGAGGGGAGUGAAAUAGAACCUGAACCCAUUCGCCUUCAAGCUGCAGGAGCCUUUCGGGGUGACUGCUUGCCUUUUGCAUAAUGAGUCUGCGAGUUGCCCUUGUCGGCCAGGUUAAGCCGAUGGCCGAGCCGAAGCGAAAGCGAGUGCGAACAGCGCGUUUAGUCGGCAGGGGCAGACCCGAAGCUGGGUGAUCUAUCCAUGGCCAGGCUGAACCCCCGGUAACACGGGGCGGAGGGCCGAACCAGUACCUGUUGAAAAAGGUUUGGAUGAGCUGUGGAUGGGAGCGAAAGACCAAUCAAACCCAGUGAUAGCUGGUUCUCUCCGAAAUAGCUUUAGGGCUAGCCUCGGCGCAUGUCGCAGCGGGGGUAGAGCGACCGAUUGGCCUAGGGUCCCCACCGGGAUGCCGAAGCCGGCCGAACUCCGAAUACCGCAUGCGUUCGCGCCGGGAGUCAGACGGCGGGGGAUAAGCUCCGUCGUCGAAAGGGAAACAGCCCACACCGCCGGUUAAGGCCCCCAAUGGCAUUCUUAGUGGAUUGAAGGAUGUGGCGUCACGUUGACAUUCAGGAUGUUGGCUCAGAGGCAGCCACCAUUUGAAGAGUGCGUAACAGCUCACUGAACGAGUGAUGCCGCGCCGAAAAUGAUCGGGACUUAAGAAUGCAGCCGAAUCCGCGGAAGCGCAGCGAUGCGCUUGGUAGGAGAGCGUCGCACUCUGCGUUGAAGGUGCCGGGGAACUGGUGCUGGAGCGUGUGCGAGUGAUCAUGCAGACAUGAGUAACGAAAAGGGGGGUGUGAAUCCCCCCCGCCGAAAGUCCAAGGUUUCCUGGGCCAGGUUCGUCCCCCCAGGGUCAGUCGGGUCCUAAGGCCAGGCAGAAAUGCGUAGCCGAUGGCAUCCAGGUCAACAUUCCUGGACCCGUGAUGGCCAGUGAAGGCGUGACGCGGAAGGGAAGAUGCGCCGGCGAUUGGAAGUGCCGGUCCAAGCGGGCAGGCCGGGGAAUGGUCAAAUGCGUUCCCCGCCAGGCCGAGCCGUGAUGGGGUGGAGCGGGUUCGCCCGUUCCGAAGGCGUUGUCACCAUGCCGCCAAGAAAAGCGUCUAAACGUUACAAAGCCAUUUCGGUCCGUACCGCAAACCGACACAGGUGGACAGGUCGAACAGACCAAGGCGCGCGAGAGAAACCACGUUAAGGAACUCGGCAAACUAGCCUCGUAACUUCGGGAUAAGAGGCGCUCUGCGGGGUGCGGCGAACUUGCUUUGCCGUGCGUUGCGGAGCCUCAGUGAAGAGGCCCAGGCGACUGUUUAACAAAAACACAGCACUCUGCCAAGCCGCAAGGCGACGUAUAGGGUGUGACACGUGACCAAUGCCGUAAGGUCAAUCGGAAGCGUCAGCCGCAAGGCGAAGCGCGGAUGUGAAGCCCCGGUGAAUGUCGGCCGUAACUAUAACGGUCCUAAGGUAGCGAAAUUCCUUGUCGGGCAAGUUCCGACCUGCACGAAUCGUGUAACGAUAUGGGCGCUGUCUCAACGAGGAUCUCGGUGAAGUUGUAGUGCCGGUGAAAAUGCCGGAUACCCGCAGAAGGACGGAAAGACCCCAUGAACCUUUACUGUAGCCUGGUACUGGGUUCUGGUCGGAUGCAUGUAGCAUAGCCGGGAGGCUUGGAAGGGCGCUCGUCAGGGCGCCCGGAGCCGCAACGUGAAAUACCGGUUCCAUCCGGGCGGAGUUCUAACCCCAUCCCGUCAUCCGGGAGGGGGACAAUGCCAGGGGGUCAGUUUGACUGGGGCGGUUUCCUCCCAAACAGUAACGGAGGAGUUCGAAGAUCGGCUCAGCACGGUCGGCAAUCGUGCGUCGAGCGCAAGGGUAGAAGCCGGUCUGACUGCGACACCGACAGGUGGGGCAGACGCGAAAGCGGGACCUAGUGAUCCGGCGCUUCCUCGUGGAAGGGGCGUCGCUCAACGGAUAAAAGGUACUCUGGGGAUAACAGGCUGAUCGCGGCCGAGAGUUCACAUCGACGCCGCGGUUUGGCACCUCGAUGUCGGCUCUUCGCAUCCUGGGGCUGGAGAAGGUCCCAAGGGUUUGGCUGUUCGCCAAUUAAAGCGGAACGCGAGCUGGGUUCAAAACGUCGUGAGACAGUUUGGUCCUUAUCCUCUGUGGGCGCAGGUGGUUUGACGGGAGCAUUCCCUAGUACGAGAGGACCGGGAAUGACGGGCCCAUGGUGUUCCGGUUGUCGCGCCAGCGGCAUGCCGGGUAGCUAUGCCCGGAACGGAUAAGCGCUGAAGGCAUCUAAGCGCCAAGCCUCCCCGAAGACGAGACCACCCGCCAGAAAUGGCCUCAAGCGCGGUCGUAGACGACGACCUCGAUAGGCCGCAGGUGCAGGCGCGGCGACGCGUUGAGCCGAGCGGUACUAAUCGCGCGUGCGGCUUGGCU